AUUGAACGCUAGCGGGAGGCUUUACACAUGCAAGUCGAACGAGUGGCGGACGGGUGAGUAAUAUAUGGGAACGUGCCCAGUAGCGGGGGAUAACUACUGGAAAGAGUGGCUAAUACCGCAUACCAUCAGAUGGGCCGAGAUGGGAUUGGCUAGUUGGUGGGGUAAAGGCUCACCAAGGCAACGAUCCGUAGCUGGUGUGAGAGGACGACCAGCCACACUGGGACUGAGACACGGCCCAGACUCCUACGGGAGGCAGCAGUGGGGAAUUUUGGACAAUGGGGGAAACCCGGAUCCAGCCAUCCCGCGUGUAUGAGAAGGCCUUCGGGUUGUAAAGUACUUUUGGCAGAGAGGCGUUAUCUGCAGAAUAAGCACCGGCUAACUACGUGCCAGCAGCCGCGGUAAUUC
rnacentral:rRNA from 1 species